AUUGAACGCUGGCGGCAUGCCUUACACAUGCAAGUCGAACGGCAGCACGGGAGCAAUCCUGGUGGCGAGUGGCGAACGGGUGAGUAAUGUAUCGGAACGUACCAUUGAGUGGGGGAUAACGUAGCGAAAGUUACGCUAAUACCGCAUAUACCCUGAGGGGGAAAGCAGGGGAUCGCAAGACCUUGUGCUCUUUGAGCGGCCGAUAUCAGAUUAGCUAGUUGGUGAGGUAAAGGCUCACCAAGGCGACGAUCUGUAGCGGGUCUGAGAGGAUGAUCCGCCACACUGGAACUGAGACACGGUCCAGACUCCUACGGGAGGCAGCAGUGGGGAAUUUUGGACAAUGGGGGCAACCCUGAUCCAGCCAUGCCGCGUGAGUGAAGAAGGCCUUCGGGUUGUAAAGCUCUUUCGGCCGGGAGGAAAUCGCACCAGCCAAUACCUGGUGUGGAUGACAGUACCGGAAUAAGAAGCACCGGCUAACUACGUGCCAGCCGCCGCCGUAACAC
rnacentral:rRNA from 1 species